ensembl:snRNA
UUAUUUUAUGAAAGGAGAGAAGGCUGGUGUCCUUGAAAAGGAUAGAAUAAGUACUAGUGAAUUUAUUUUGGGUAAGACACAGCUACUUACUCUGUGUCAUCUAAUAAUAAUUA